AUUGAACGCUGGCGGCAGGCCUAACACAUGCAAGUCGAGCGAGCGGCGGACGGGUGAGUAAUGUAUGGGGACUGCCCGAUCGAGGGGGAUAACUACUGGAAACGGUAGCUAAUACCGCAUACUAUCGGAUAACCCAUAUGGGAUUAGCUCGUGGGGGGGGUAAUGGCUAACCUAGGCGACGAUCCCUAGCUGGUCUGAGAGGAUGAUCAGCCACACUGGGAAUGAGACAAGGCCCAGACUCCUACGGAGGCAGCAGUGGGGAAUAUUGCACAAGGGGCGCAAGGCUGGAGAAGCCAUGCCGCGUGUAUGAAGAAGGCCCUAGGGUUGUAAAGUACUUUCAGUCGGGAGGCGGUACCGACAGAAGAAGCACCGGCUAACUCCGUGCCAGCAGCCGCGGUAAUUC
rnacentral:rRNA from 1 species